rnacentral:rRNA from 1 species
AUUGAACGCUGGCGGCAUGCCUAACACAUGCAAGUCGAGCGGUAACACAGGGAGCUUGCUCCCGGGUGACGAGCGGCGGACGGGUGAGUAAUGUCUGGGAAACUGCCUGAUGGAGGGGGAUAACUACUGGAAACGGUAGCUAAUACCGCAUAACGUCGCAAGACCAAAGAGGGGGACCUUCGGGCCUCUUGCCAUCAGAUGUGCCCAGAUGGGAUUAGCUAGUAGGUGGGGUAACGGCUCACCUAGGCGACGAUCCCUAGCGGGUCUGAGAGGAUGACCAGCCACACUGGAACUGAGACACGGUCCAGACUCCUACGGGAGGCAGCAGUGGGGAAUAUUGCACAAUGGGCGCAAGCCUGAUGCAGCCAUGCCGCGUGUAUGAAGAAGGCCUUCGGGUUGUAAAGUACUUUCAGCGGGGAGGAAGGUGUUGAGGUUAAUAACCUCAGCAAUUGACGUUACCCGCAGAAGAAGCACCGGCUAACUCCGUGCCAGCCGCCGCCGUAAGAC